UAGGUGAACCUGCGGAAGGAUCAUUAACGAGUUAGGGUCUUCCAGGCCCGACCUCCCAACCCUUUGUCUACUGAACCUCUGUUGCUUCGGCGGGCCCGUCUCACGACCGCCGGAGGAGCGCUGAAAGGCGUCUCCUCUGGCCCGUGCCCGCCGAUGGCCAACUAUAAAACUCUGCAUAAAUCGUGUCUUAUGUCUAAGUCCAUGAUUAAAUUAAAAGCAAAACUUUCAACAACGGAUCUCUUGGUUCUGGCAUCGAUGAAGAACGCAGCGAAAUGCGAUAAGUAAUGCGAAUUGCAGAAUUCCAGUGAGUCAUCGAAUCUUUGAACGCACAUUGCGCCCUUUGGUAUUCCGAAGGGCAUGCCUGUUCGAGCGUCAUUAUCACCCCUCAAGCCCCUGUGCUUGGUGUUGGACGGCUUCGGUCGAGUAACGUCGACCCCUCCUAAAGACAAUGACGGCGGCCUGUGGAACCCCCGGUACACUGAGCUUUUAACCGAGCACGUAUCGGAUGAGGGUGCCCAGGACACGGUCCUUCCUCCCUUCAGUGGGAAAGUUUUCUAAGGUGACCUC
rnacentral:misc_RNA from 1 species